GUGCCAGAAGAAUCGGCAAUACGGAGGGUGCAAGCGUUGUUCGGAAUUAUUGGGCGUAAAGAGCAUGUAGGCGGUUUGUUAAGUCUGGUGUGAAAGCCCUGGGUUCAACCCAGGAAGUGCAUUGGAUACUGGCAGACUUGAGUAUGGGAGAGGAAAGUGGAAUUCCGAGUGUAGGAGUGAAAUCCGUAGAUAUUCGGAGGAACACCAGUGGCGAAGGCGGCUUUCUGGACCAAUACUGACGCUGAGAUGCGAAAGCNUGGGGAGCAAACAGGAUUAGAUACCCUGGUAGUCCACGCCGUAAACGAUGGGCACUAGGUGUCGCGGGUAACCACUCCUGCGGUGCCGUAGCUAACGCAUUANGUGCCCGCCUGGGGAGUACGGCCGCNAGNNUAAAACUCAAAUGAAUUGACGG
rnacentral:rRNA from 1 species